CCCAGUGAAGUCGCGCCCCUCCGCUCCAGCCUGAUUUGCAGGCGAGAGGACAAGCCGCGCUGUGCGGGGCAGCCGCCGCUUCUGGCUAAAAGAGCUCCGAGGCUCAACCGGAGAAUCGCUAGGAUCUUUAGAGGACCUGUAACAACAAAAAAAAAGCUGGAGCAGCAGACUGGCAGCUUAAGCCUGAGCUGCAGACUUCAUUACUGAAAGCCUAAAUAUCUGUCCGUAUGUAAAAUACUAGUUUCUGCUGCUGUGACUGCACCAGAAUCACUGGGGAACGGCCGAAAAAUUCAGGGGGUACGAAUGCAGCUUUGUAGAAUGAUUUGCUUUGGUUACUUCUCGGGGAGGAAAUUUGUGGAAGUGCUGAAAGGUAGGAGCUGUCUUAUCAGCCGUACCGGGGCCACGGGGAACUUUGAAUCUUCCCCAAGUGCACAGAAAUUCUGUACGUGUGGACCUUAAUACUUUAAGCACUUCAUUCCAGACAUAACAACAGCCUGCCCAAAUGAUCUGCUGACCUGUUCUAGAUUUCAUUGUCUAUAUAAUAAAUGCAGGGUAAGUCCUGUGACUGAUCCACGUGGAAAUCAUUUAGCCAUUAAUCACUAUGCAGGAUAAGACCAUGUUUGCAUUUUAUGAUACGCUAUCCAUUUUUAUGCUGAAAUACUAAAAAUCAGUCUAAUCCAAAGAAUGUCAACUUUAAUACACUAUCAUUGUAGAUUAAAAUUUCCUGAUUUUAACUAAAAAUAACUCAUUCUGUCUUAAAAAUAUUUUAAUUUAUCUGUAAUAUGAAUUUUGGGGACUUCUGCAUGUCUUGGUUGGAGACUGAGGGAACAGUAGGAGGCAACUUGUCUCCACCUGAAGCAACACAGACAAUUGGUAAAACUGUAAAGAUGGACUCUUUACCUGUUCAUCCUCUCUGUUUCCACACAGUCCCUCUCUACACUUGUUAUGAGCUUAUUAAUAAAAUCUAUUACUCAAAUGAGAAGAAAAUUAUGGUGACCUCCAGUCAGUGAAGCUGGCUAGCAGAGCUGGGGUCAAGUGUAAACUAGGAAAAAAGACUUGGUAAGAGGAGCUGCUGUAUUCUAGAUGCUGCCAAGGUGCGUGCAUUCCUCCAUCCGUAAUCCACCUCUACAUGCUCUGACAAGCAGAGCAUCUACAACAGAAGCCAAGUUGAAUAACCACUUAUAAGUUCAUCAGAAUGCAACUGAGAAUUUAACAUGCUUAAACAGGUCAGACUAAAUUUUCAACCCUGCUUUUUAUUCUUUCCUUGCUCAGAGUACUUUGCAUGUCUUUUACCUUCAAGCUACCUUUGACAGAUUGCUAUAUGGAUGUAAAAUGGUAAUAUUUUUCAUUAUUUUAACUUUAACAAUUUAAGAUUUCCAUGACCUAGACUAAGUUCUGCAUAAAUUCUGCUUAGAUAAGAGUAAAUCAUUACAGCCAGUAAAAUUAUUCCUUGUGGAAAAUGAGCCUUGUGAGUUUCGUGCUUUUCGCUGUCUUCUUAUUACUUCUUUUUUCUUUUAUUCUAACUGCAGAGCUGUUCAUGUGAGCAGGCUUCAGCUGAUAAGUUUGUAUAUUGUUCAUGUCCGCUUGGGAUAUCCUUUCAAUGAGCAACAAUCUAGAAGUGUGAUUGUAACACUGGGGAACUCAGUAGACCAGAUGAUUAGCUGUUGGAUUCGUGCUCCUCAGUGCCGUAAUGACCUGUCUUCCUGCACACAAUCACUCUCAGUGGACACUGAACUCAAAAUCCUAUUUCUUGGGCCAACUUUCAAUUUUAUCUUAGUUAUAGUAUGUGAGGAAGGCACAUGGUUGGACCAAAGCGCCAUGUUCCGGCUCACCUCAGUUAAUGAUUUCUGGGGGACUUUCAGGAAAUAGCAUAAGUUAAGGCAGUCACCUAGCUGCAGUGCAGGAGUAGAAAGGGAAAGCUAAACCAGCCUUCCCUUCUAGCUCUGAAAAACAGAAACACCGAUCUUCAAAGAAUCUGGGCCAAUGUGUUCCUCACACUUCAAGUGAUAGUCCCACUCACUCCACACUCCUCAUGCUGUGCUGCUUCAAGGUUUCACAGCCUCUCUUCAUGCCAAGGGGGUUUCCCAGUUUGCCCCGCUUCUCUGGCAGGUAAAAAUCCUUGGCUUCAGAACACAAGGCUUCAGGAUCUCUUGACAGAGAGGACUAGAAGUUGGGAGUAUUUCCAUGUAAAGUCUUUUUCAUGAAAACAUGCUCAUCUGUUGAAACAAAAUUUUUGUAGGGAAGAGCUGAUUUGGAUGAUUUUGCCAUUUUAAAAAAUGGCAUACAAAGGACUCAACAGAUUUCAGAGCAUAUGGGGUUUCAUUCUCCGCUAUCUUACACAUUGCCUAGCUGUUUACAUUCUGACAAGGCAGAUGUAAAAGACAACCUCUCUGCCUUGUUAGGAUUUACUUCCACUUAGUUACAGGUAUGAUUGCAUGCACAAGAUUAAAAAGCCUGGUGAAUCAGUUCUCUACUCCUUUUCCUAUUUGAUCAUUGAUCAGUUGCUAUCUGUUUUCAGCCAAUGUGUUCAGCCACAUUUAGUUUUAUAUGCUCUUCAUCUACUGAACUCUUCCUCUUUUGCUUUGCCUUUCCAGCCCUCUCCUGCUUUAUCUCAAGUCUUUGCAUCUUUCUGGGUUACUACAUCCCAUGUGUUUUGAAAGGAGUGUAUAUUUAGAAAUCGGACGGGAAUGGGAGGAAGAAGGAAGCCAGAAUGAUUUUGUUCACUGUAUUUUUGUGGGAGCAGGACACUCUGACAGCAAAGCGAGGAGAUGAUACUUUCCCUUCUCUUUAGCGGCUGCACCUGAAAUACUGCAUUUCAUUCUGGCAUCCUACAAUGAGAAAUAUGACGAUGAAGAAAGAAGAAAGAAGAGCAGUAAAAGUGAUUAAGAGACUAGAUAUACUACUGACUUAUGAGGAAAGGCUAAAUUAAUUUUAAAAGGGUAUGGCUUGGCCAAGCCAAGGACUACAGAAAAUAUCAUAGCUGUCUGAAAGCCGACUGUAAAACUGAGUGAAGAGGGGAAUUGAUUGCAGUAAUUCAGGGUGUGUAGAGACGAUAAGAUAAAAUGCAUCCCCCCCCCCCAUGCUUGAUAUAAAAAAUAAGCUUGCCUACACUAUAGAACUGUCUCCUUAGUACACUGGGUUAUUGGGAUUUCACUUUACUAUUUAAAGAAUGUACUUCAGAAUUCGUAGUAAGUCUCUGUGCUAUAUUCAGUUGAUUAAACUAGUGAAGAUGCAACUUCCGCAUACCUAUAUUUCUGUCAUGUUGGAAAAAAGAGUCUCAAAGACCACAAUGGCAGGCAGGUAUAUGUAAAUCUGUAUGUAUGAAAGGCAAAUCUCUGACCUACCUUGAUUGUUUCUUGUGCCUUUGAGAACUGCUUUCCCUUAGUUCAUGGUUGCCAACACUUAAGGGGUUUUGUGCAAUUUCUCACAAUUGCUUCAAUCCAAGAAUCUUCUUACUCGGGUUUAGUCUUUGUAUCCCUCAGAAGAUGUCUAUCCUAAGACCAAGAGCAUUGUUGUAGGUGAGAUAUCGAGAGGCAAAAAUACUAGGAGUUAAUGCAGAAACUGAUUGUUUUGAAAGUAAGGCAUAUUUUUCCUUUCUCCUUUGCUGUGAUCUUCUGGACAAGAUCACAAGGUCCUCAGCAAUUACAUGUAUGUAGAGGAAAAGUCUAUUCUGGCACUCUUGUUCUAAUAAAAUGAAUAUUAGGAUCAAAAUAACUCCGCUUUCUCCAUCCCCCUUUGCAUGUUUAAAAACUAUGAUUGUUACAAAGGUUUAAUAUAAUAAAGAAGCAUGAUGUGUGUUGUCACCAGCUAGCCAUUGAGAGUUAAUGAUACGAGGCUCACUGAAUUAUUUUAGUAUCCUCUGUGAGCAUUAAUGCAUUUUACAUUGUGAACUCUAAUUGCGAACUUGAUGUCCUAAAUUGUUUGAGGUUUGCCUGUGUGGUUUAUUAUUCCUGAAUAUAAACUAGAAAAAGCACCAAAGUCUUGUUACAGAAUCAGAGCAAAAGUCUAUCUAGGCCAGCAUUCUGUCACUUACAGCGGCCAACACAGGAUGCCUAAGAAAGGGAGAGUUCCAUGUGAACAUGAACUCCCCAAUAUUUUUUCCUGUCCUCCACUGAUUUGUGGCUAUAGGACUUCCCAAGCCAGAGCUGGAAAAACUUCAGUACUGUGAGCAGAGUUGGCUGAAAUUUUUCACUUGAAAGACUUCCCUAUCAAAAGAUUCUCCUUUUGAUGAAAUAAGUUUCUCUUUGAAGUAGAAAUUUCAAAACAAAAUUAUGCAU